rnacentral:rRNA from 1 species
AUUGAACGCUGGCGGCAGGCCUAACACAUGCAAGUCGGACGGUAGCACAGAGAGCUUGCUCUCGGGUGACGAGUGGCGGACGGGUGAGUAAUGUCUGGGGAUCUGCCCGAUAGAGGGGGAUAACCACUGGAAACGGUGGCUAAUACCGCAUAACGUCGCAAGACCAAAGAGGGGGACCUUCGGGCCUCUCACUAUCGGAUGAACCAAGAAGGGAUUAGCUAGUAGGCGGGGUAAUGGCCCACCUAGGCGACGAUCCCUGGCUGGUAUGAGAGGAUGACCAGCCACAAUGGAACUGAGACACGGUCCAGACUCCUACGGGAGGCAGCAGUGGGGAAUAUUGCACAAUGGGCGCAAGCCUGAUGCAGCCAUGCCGCGUGUAUGAAGAAGACCUUCGGGUUGUAAAGUACUUUCAGCGGGGAGGAAGGCGGUGCGGUUAAUAACCGCGCCGAUUGACGUUACCCGCAGAAGAAGCACCGGCUAACUCCGUGCCAGCCGCCGCCGUAA